rnacentral:rRNA from 1 species
AUUGGGCGUAAGGGCUCGCAGGCGGUUUCUUAAGUCUGAUGUGAAAGCCCCCGGCUCAACCGGGGAGGGUCAUUGGAAACUGGGAAACUUGAGUGCAGAAGAGGAGAGUGGAAUUCCACGUGUAGCGGUGAAAUGCGUAGAGAUGUGGAGGAACACCAGUGGCGAAGGCGACUCUCUGGUCUGUAACUGACGCUGAGGAGCGAAAGCGUGGGGAGCGAACAGGAUUAGAUACCCUGGUAGUCCACGCCGUAAACGAUGAGUGCUAAGUGUUAGGGGGUUUCCGCCCCUUAGUGCUGCAGCUAACGCAUUAAGCACUCCGCCUGGGGAGUACGGUCGCAAGACUGAAACUCAAAGGAAUUGACGGGGGCCCGCACAAGCGGUGGAGCAUGUGGUUUAAUUCGAAGCAACGCGAAGAACCUUACCAGGUCUUGACAUCCUCUGACAACCCUAGAGAUAGGGCUUUCCCUUCGGGGACAGAGUGACAGGUGGUGCAUGGUUGUCGUCAGCUCGUGUCGUGAGAUGUUGGGUUAAGUCCCGCAACGAGCGCAACCCUUGAUC